rnacentral:lncRNA from 1 species
CGAACUCAGGUCCUUUAGAAAAUCUAAAUUAGUGAGGAUUCGUACUCAAGUCCCUUAGAAACACUGAGACGACAUUUGCCACCUGACAACACCCACGUGAUUAAUAAAAACAUGGUUUAUUAAAGAAAAUUCUUACACAAAUAAAAACAGAGAAAAACAGAAUAAAAGAAUGUGUGAAUUCACAAAACUUCACAACAAUUAAAAAGGUCAAAGUCAAAGAGAGAAAGUUCAACAAAAAUGUCCUGACAAAUGAUCCGCUUUCUAAUCUUUUGAAUUUUAUCCAGAUUCAUGGUUAAUG